CCUACGGGAGGCAGCAGUCGGGAAUUUUGGGCAAUGGGCGAAAGCCUGACCCAGCAACGCCGCGUGAAGGAUGAAAUCCCUCGGGAUGUAAACUUCGCAAGAACGGGAAGAAUAAGCGAGAGUUAAUAUCUUUCGUGAUGACGGUACCGUUUGUAAGCUCCGGCUAACUCCGUGCCAGCAGCCGCGGUAAUACGGGGGGAGCAAGCGUUGUUCGGAUUUACUGGGCGUAAAGGGCGCGUAGGCGGCCAGCACAAGUCAGUUGUGAAAUCUCCGAGCUUAACUCGGAAAGGUCAACUGAUACUGUGCGGCUAGAGUGCGGAAGGGGCAACUGGAAUUCUUGGUGUAGCGGUGAAAUGCGUAGAUAUCAAGAGGAACACCUGCGGCGAAGGCGGGUUGCUGGGCCGACACUGACGCUGAGGCGCGAAAGCCAGGGGAGCGAACGGGAUUAGAUACCCCGGUAGUCCUGGCCUUAAACGAUGAAUGCUUGGUGUCUGGGGUUAUAUAGUCCCCGGGUGCCGUCGCUAACGCUUUAAGCAUUCCGCCUGGGGAGUACGGUCGCAAGACUGAAACUCAAAGGAAUUGACGG
rnacentral:rRNA from 1 species